UGCGCAGGCGGUUGAGUAAGACAGAUGCGAAAUCCCCGAGCUUAACUCGGGAAUGGCAUAUGUGACUGCUCGACUAGAGUGUGUCAGAGGGAGGUGGAAUUCCACGUGUAGCAGUGAAAUGCGUAGAUAUGCGGAAGAACACCGAUGGCGAAGGCAGCCUCCUGGGACAUAACUGAGCUCAGGCACGAAAGCGUGGGGAGCAAACA
rnacentral:rRNA from 1 species